rnacentral:rRNA from 1 species
UCUACCUGAAUAACUGUGGCAAUUCUAGAGCUAAUACAUGCUAAAAACCUCGACUUCGGAAGGGGUGUAUUUAUUAGAUAAAAAACCAAUGCCCUUCGGGGCUCCUUGGUGAUUCAUAAUAACUUAACGAAUCGCAUGGCCUUGUGCCGGCGAUGGUUCAUUCAAAUUUCUGCCCUAUCAACUUUCGAUGGUAGGAUAGUGGCCUACCAUGGUGUCUACGGGUAACGGGGAAUUAGGGUUCUAUUCCGGAGAGGGAGCCUGAGAAACGGCUACCACAUCCAAGGAAGGCAGCAGGCGCGCAAAUUACCCAAUCCCAAUCCGGGGAGGUAGUGACAAUAAAUACUGAUACAUGGCUCUUUCGGGUCUUGUAAUUGGAAUGAGUACAAUUUAAAUCCCUUAACGAGGAACAAUUGGAGGGCAAGUCUGGUGCCAGCAGCCGCGGUAAUUCCAGCUCCAAUAGCGUAUAUUAAAGUUGUUGCAGUUAAAAAGCUCGUAGUUGAACCUUGGGCCUGGCUGAUCUGUCCUCCUAAUCGAGCGCACGGAUUCGGUCGGACCUUUCCUUCUGGGGAGCCCUAUGCCCUUUACUGGGCGUAGCGGGGAACCAGGACUUUUACCUUGAAAAAAUUAGAGUGUUCAAAGCAGGCCUUUGCUCGAAUACAUUAGCAUGGAAUAAUAGAAUAGGACAUCGGUUCUAUUUUGUUGGUUUCUAGGACCGCUGUAAUGAUUAAUAGGGAUAGUCGGGGGCGUCAGUAUUCAAUUGUCAGAGGUGAAAUUCUUGGAUUUAUUGAAGACUAACUACUGCGAAAGCAUUCGCCAAGGAUGUUUUCAUUAAUCAGUGAACGAAAGUUAGGGGAUCGAAGACGAUCAGAUACCGUCGUAGUCUUAACCAUAAACUAUGCCGACUAGGGAUCGGAAGGUGUUUUUAUAUGACCGUU